GAGAUGUGAUCCCUUGUGUGCUGGU
rnacentral:piRNA from 1 species